GGACUACUCGGGUAUCUAAUCCUGUUUGCUCCCCACGCUUUCGCACUUAAGUGUCAGUAUUAAUCCAGGUAGCCGCCUUCGCCACUGAUGUUCUUUCCGAUAUCUACGCAUUUCACCGCUACACCGGAAAUUCCACUACCCUCUACCAUACUCUAGAUAUUCAGUAUCGAAUGCGAUUCCCAGGUUGAGCCCGGGGCUUUCACACCCGACUUAAAUAUCCACCUACAUGCGCUUUACGCCCAGUAAUUCCGAUUAACGCUCGCACCCUCUGUAUUACCGCGGCUGCUGGCAC
rnacentral:rRNA from 1 species